rnacentral:rRNA from 1 species
AAGUUUGAUCCUGGCUCAAUUGAACGCUGGCGGAAUGCUUUACACAUGCAAGUCGAACGGCAGCACGGGGGCUCGCUCUGAUGGCGAGUGGCGAACGGGUGAGUAAUGCGUCGGAACGUACCGAGUAAUGGGGGAUAACGCAGCGAAAGUUGUGCUAAUACCGCAUACGCCCUAUGGGGGAAAGCAGGGGAUCGCAAGACCUUGCGUUAUUCGAGCGGCCGACGUCUGAUUAGCUAGUUGGUGGGGUAAAGGCCUACCAAGGCGACGAUCAGUAGCGGGUCUGAGAGGAUGAUCCGCCACACUGGAACUGAGACACGGUCCAGACUCCUACGGGAGGCAGCAGUGGGGAAUUUUGGACAAUGGGGGCAACCCUGAUCCAGCCAUUCCGCGUGAGUGAAGAAGGCCUUCGGGUUGUAAAGCUCUUUCAGCAGGAACGAAACGGUACGCUCUAACAUAGCGUGCUAAUGACGGUACCUGCAGAAGAAGCACCGGCUAACUACGUGCCAGCAGCCGCGGUAAUACGUAGGGUGCGAGCGUUAAUCGGAAUUACUGGGCGUAAAGCGUGCGCAGGCGGAUUGUUAAGCAAGACGUGAAAUCCCCGGGCUUAACCUGGGAAUGGCGUUUUGAACUGGCAGUCUAGAGUGUGUCAGAGGGGGGUAGAAUUCCACGUGUAGCAGUGAAAUGCGUAGAGAUGUGGAGGAAUACCGAUGGCGAAGGCAGCCCCCUGGGAUAACACUGACGCUCAUGUACGAAAGCGUGGGUAGCAAACAGGAUUAGAUACCCUGGUAGUCG